UAGGGAAUUUUCGGCAAUGGGGGAAACCCUGACCGAGCGACGCCGCGUGAGUGAAGAAGGCCUUCGGGUUGUAAGCUCUGUUGUAAGGGAAGAAAAUGCACUGAGAGGGAAUGCUUGGUGCUUGACGGUACCUUACCAGAAAGCCACGGCUAACUACGUGCCAGCAGCCGCGGUAAUACGUAGGUGGCAAGCGUUAUCCGGAAUUAUUGGGCGUAAAGGGAGCGCAGGCGGUUUAUUAAGUCUAAGGUUAAAGUUCGGGGCUCAACCCCGUGAUGCCUUAGAAAACUGGUAGACUAGAGUGCAGGAGAGGUGAGUGGAAUUCCAUGUGUAGCGGUAAAAAUGCGUAGAUAUAUGGAGGAACACCAGUGGCGAAGGCGGCUCACUGGCCUGUAAACUGACGCUGAGGCUCGAAAAGCGUGGGGAGCAAAAUAGGAUUAGAUACCCUAGUAGUCCACGCCGUAAAACGAUGGAUACUAAGUGUUGGGAUAGAAAUCUCAGUGCUGUAGUUAAACGCAAAUAAGUAUCCCGCCUGGGGAGUAUGCGCGCAAGCGUAAAACUCAAAAGGAAUUGACGGGGUCGU
rnacentral:rRNA from 1 species